rnacentral:rRNA from 1 species
AACCGGAUUAGAUACCCUGGUAGUCCAUGUCGUAAACGUUGGGCACUAGGUGUGGGGACCAUUCCACGGUUUCCGCGCCGCAGCUAACGCAUUAAGUGCCCCGCCUGGGGAGUACGGCCGCAAGGCUAAAACUCAAAGGAAUUGACGGGGGCCCGCACAAGCGGCGGAGCAUGCGGAUUAAUUUGAUGCAACGCGAAGAACCUUACCAAGGCUUGACAUGUUCUCGAUCGCCGUAGAGAUACGGUUUCCCCUUUGGGGCGGGUUCACAGGUGGUGCAUGGUUGUCGUCAGCUCGUGUCGUGAGAUGUUGGGUUAAGUCCCGCAACGAGCGCAACCCUCGUUCCAUGUUGCCAGCACGUCGUGGUGGGGACUCAUGGGAGACUGCCGGGGUCAACUCGGAGGAAGGUGAGGACGACGUCAAAUCAUCAUGCCCCUUAUGUCUUGGGCUUCACGCAUGCUACAAUGGCCGGUACAAUGGGUUGCGAUACUGUGAGGUGGAGCUAAUCCCAAAAAGCCGGUCUCAGUUCGGAUUGGGGUCUGCAACUCGACCCCAUGAAGUCGGAGUCGCUAGUAAUCGCAGAUCAGCAACGCUGCGGUGAAUACGUUCCCGGGCCUUGUACACACCGCCCGUCAAGUCACGAAAGUUGGUAACACCCGAAGCCGGUGGCCUAACCCUUGUGGGGGGAGCCGUCGAAGGUGGGACCAGCGAUUGGGACUAAGUCGUAACAAGGUAGCC